AUGGCUGUCGUCAGCUCGUGUCGUGAGAUGUUGGGUUAAGUCCCGCAACGAGCGCAACCCCCGUCCUUAGUUGCUACCAUUUAGUUGAGCACUCUAGGGAGACUGCCGGUGAUAAGCCGCGAGGAAGGUGGGGAUGACGUCAAGUCCUCAUGGCCCUUACGGGCUGGGCUACACACGUGCUACAAUGGCGGUGACAAUGGGACGCUAAGGGGCAACCCUUCGCAAAUCUCAAAAAGCCGUCUCAGUUCGGAUUGGGCUCUGCAACUCGAGCCCAUGAAGUUGGAAUCGCUAGUAAUCGUGGAUCAGCAUGCCACGGUGAAUACGUUCCCGGGCCUUGUACACACCGCCCGUCACACCAUGGGAGUGAGCAACACCCGAAGCCGGUGGCCUAACCCUUUUGGGAGGGAGCCGUCGAAGGUGGGGCUCGUGACUGGGGUGAAGUCGUAACAAGGUAGCCGUAGCGGAAGCUGCGGCUGGAUCACCUCCUUUCUAGGGAGCCCGUUACAGGGCACCGAUCGUCCGCACGACCGUUCAUUCGAGCUCUCGAGCUCGAACGAGACGUUCUCCUGCGCGCACGAUCGGCCACUAGAUAUGUCGACCGGACCUGGCAGGACGCACAACCUCGGGCCUGGCCCGGGCGCGAUGCAUUCCGCAUGCUGUUGAGUUUUGAGAGACCGGCGCGCUGCCGGAGCUUCAGAGGAUUUCGAUCCCACGGGCGCCGGCAGACACGCUCGCCUCUUCGCGGACCUUGAAAACUACACAGUAGCCAAUUAAACGGGUAUCACCGGGUGAAGCCGCAAGGCUUCUCCCAACAAGAUCACCGUCAAGAUAGUAAGGGCACACGGUGGAUGCCUUGGCACCAAGAGUCGAUGAAGGGCGUGAACGGCUGCGAUAAGCCGCGGUGAGGCGCUGAAUGGCCAGUGACCCGCGGAUGCCCGAAUGGGGAAACCCGG
rnacentral:sRNA from 1 species